CACAGCAGACGGCAUGUCAGCGGCUCCACCUGGAAGAUGUGUUUUUAAUGUUGUGAGACACAAACGAUACUGCAAGAUGGUUUUUGAAAAAGGAAAAACCUUAAGCGGGAAACAUGCAAACACCCAUAAACACUAGGCUAGUUGGUCAAACAAUAAAGCUUACACAUUUUCUUAUGUAGUGAAUUUAUUUACAGCUGUUUGCUUAAACUUAAGUGUCAUGUUCCUGGGGAGAUUUUAAACAGAACAUUUUGAGUUCUCUUUUCCUGCCCAUUUUGUUGUUGUGUUGGCCUACAGAAAGUCCUCUGUUGUGAGACUUUGCUGUCUUGCAAAACAGUAAAUUCUUAAUUUCAAAAUUUUUCACAAUGCUGCUGUAAUGAAAUAUACAUGUAGCGUCAUUCCUCUCUCUGUGCCUCAAAUGCUCUUUCGCACACUUUCAAUAGAUUUGGCUCUUCAGUGUUUAUUUGAACACAUCUUCAUAGACAAAAAAGAUCAGCCUACAAGCAAACGCAUUAAACUUUAGCCAAAGGAGGGAGCAGGGGAUGAAAUGGAGCCCAUUCCACCAACCGAAGGUAGAGCGCUCGUAGUGUCAGGAUUGACCAUCGCUUUGUGCUGUCACCACCGCUGUGAUUGGAGAUACUACAUGGGGAAAGAGUUCUUCAGGCAGUGAGGUCAUGGACCAGAAGAGUUUGCUGCUUUUCAAUGCAUGUUAAGCUGGGCCACAUGCGGCAUGAGAAAAUUGAGUUCUACGAUAUCAGAGCAAACAAGUGACCAUAAAACAACAAGGGGAUGAAGAAGAACAUAAAAAGAGUGGGGAAGCUUUUUGGUAAAUGGUAAAUGGUAACAGUGUUAUGUCAGUUGAAGACUGGGAACAAAUCGGACGCCUAUGUAAACUUAUAAUUGACAUGGGGAGAGUUUUUUUUACCUCCAGCAAAGAGGCUUUGAAUCCAGCCUGAAGUAUUACACAAGCAGAGACGUGUCAUUGGAGAACGUGCUACUAACUGUCAUUCCCACAACCAGUCGGAACAGAGAUGUAUUUGAAUUGCCUUCUUAAAACAAACAGUAGGUUGCAUAGACAAGGCAAAGCACAUAAUAGCCAGCAGUGCUGUGCAGAACAUGUAUGAUUCUUUUUAUUUGAUCAAUGUUUAUGGAUUUUUAUUUUAUUUUAACCCAUCCACAAACAUAAGUUAUGACAAACAAGCAGAAGCACAAAGCAGGAAAGUCAAAUCCAACCAACUGCACAGAGAACAAAACAUUUUCUAAGUUCAUUUAAAAGACAAGAGAAGCACAGAGGACUCUUCACAGGGCUUGUGGGACAACACUUGGCUUGAUGAACCAGAAGAUCAGGCCAAGCCCUUUGAAGGCAGACGAGCAGAAAGUAGCCAGCAAGCAAGUCACAAAGACGAUGCUAUCUCUGGCACAGCAUCCAACAUCACAUUUAGUACUGACAUGAAAGUUUGGGAUCCUGAAAUACAUAUUUAAUGCAAAAGUUGGUCAGUAACAUGGUCUGAUUACUUCAGUUCUAGUUCUGUUUUAUUUAUUCAAUUUUUUACAUUAAAGUUCUACCAGUUAUGUACACAGUA